rnacentral:rRNA from 1 species
AGCGAACGCUGGCGGCAGACCUAACACAUGCAAGUCGAACGAACCUUUCGGGGUUAGUGGCGGACGGGUGAGUAACACGUGGGAACGUGCCUUUAAGUUCGGAAUAACUCAGGGAAACUUGUGCUAAUACCGAAUGUGCCCUUCGGGGGAAAGAUUUAUCGCCUUUAGAGCGGCCCGCGUCUGAUUAGCUAGUUGGUUGAGGUAAUGGCUCACCAAGGCGACGAUCAGUAGCUGGUCUGAGAGGAUGAUCAGCCACAUUGGGACUGAGACACGACCCAAACUCCUACGGGAGGCAGCAGUGGGGAAUCUUGCGCAAUGGGCGAAAGCCUGACGCAGCCAUGCCGCGUGAAUGAUGAAGGUCUUAGGAUUGUAAAAUUCUUUCACCGGGGACGAUAAUGACGGUACCCGGAGAAGAAGCCCCGGCUAACUUCGUG